AGAGUUUGAUCAUGGCUCAGGAUGAACGCUGGCGGCGUGCUUAACACAUGCAAGUCGAACGAAAGUCUUCGGACUUUAGUGGCGGACGGGUGAGUAACGCGUGAGGAUCUGCCCAAAGGAGCGGGAUAACUAUUGGAAACGAUAGCUAAGACCGCAUAUGCCGAGAGGUGAAACAUUUAUGGCCUUUGGAUGAACUCGCGUCUGAUUAGUUAGUUGGUGGGGUAAGGGCCUACCAAGACUGUGAUCAGUAGCUGUUCUGAGAGGAUGAUCAGCCACACUGGGACUGAGACACGGCCCAGACUCCUACGGGAGGCAGCAGUGGGGAAUUUUCCGCAAUGGGCGAAAGCCUGACGGAGCAACGCCGCGUGAGGGAGGAAGGUCUUUGGAUUGUAAACCUCUUUUCUCAAGGAAGAUAAUGACGGUACUGAGAAUCAGC
rnacentral:rRNA from 1 species